AGCAUAUCAGUAAGCGGAGGAAAAGAAACUAACAAGGAUUCCCCUAGUAACGGCGAGCGAAGCGGGAAUAGCUCAAAUUUAAAAUCUGGUAGGCCUCGCCUAUCCGAAUUGUAGUUUAAAGAGGUGUUAUCUGGCCAUGGCCUUGAGCUCAAGUCUCUUGGAAUAGGGCGUCACAGAGGGUGAGAACCCCGUCUGGGCACCGGGCCAUGGCCUCUAUGAGGCACUCUCUACGAGUCGGGUUGUUUGGGAAUGCAGCUCAAAAUGGGUGGUAAAUUUCAUCUAAGGCUAAAUAUUGGCAAGAGACCGAUAGCGAACAAGUACCGUGAGGGAAAGAUGAAAAGCACCUUGAAAAGGGAGUUAAAUAGUGCGUGAAAUUGUUAAAAGGGAAACGAUUGAGACCAGUAUUGCUGCCGGUCGUUCAGCCAAGGGUUGGCGCAAGCCUGCGCUUGGUGCAUUCGGUCGGCGGCGAGUCAGCGUCAGUUUGGUGCGCUUCCGGAGAGAGGUCAGAGGAAGGUGGGUUAGGCCUUCGGGCUUAUCCCCUUAUAGCCUCUGGCUGGCACGGGAGCCCGGACUGAGGUGUGCGACCGUAGUACUCUCGGCAUCGAGACCGUCCCCCAAAGUCAAGGACUGCACGCAGACCUUGACCGCAAGGCGGCGGAGGUAGGGCCGAGCAUACGGUUCCAGGAUGCUGACGAAAUGGUCUUAAACGACCCGUCU
rnacentral:rRNA from 1 species